UACGGAGGAUGCAAGCGUUAUCCGGAAUUAUUGGGCGUAAAGCGUCCGCAGGUGGCACUUCAAGUCUGCUGUCAAAGACCGGGGCUUAACCCUGGAAAGGCAGUGGAAACUGAAGCGCUAGAGUGUGGCAGGGGUAGAGGGAAUUCCAGGUGUAGCGGUGAAAUGCGUAGAUAUCUGGAGGAACACCGGUGGCGAAGGCGGCAUCCUGGACCGGUAUUGACGCUGAGGCGCGAAAGCCAGGGGAGCAAACGGG
rnacentral:rRNA from 1 species